AGAGACCAAACAAAAUACUGAUUACAAUGAAAGCCCACGAGAAAAUGUUACUUCAAGGCAGGAUGCUGAGGAUGAUGGUGCAGCAUCACUGAGAUGUACAGAAGAACAUCGUAAAAGCUCAUCGGACUUUGAACAUGAAGAAGAAAAUAGCCAUGCAGAGAAGGAUAAGUUGGAAGCAACAAUGUCUAAGUCACUGACCUUUCAAGAUUUGCUUCAACACUAUCAAGUAGAAAACAAAAAACUGCAAGAUCUUGUUAAGAUAAAAGAGGACAAGAUUUUUGAACUAGAACAGGAAGUCAUAACUCUAAGUCAAGAUUUGGCAACAUCUGAAAACAAAAACAGGAAGCUUCAGGAAGAAAAUACAGCUCUUCUUCAUGGAAUGGCAAAGCUUAAAAUGUAGCAAGUAGCACUAGAGCCUUAUCAAACAUACAAACUCUGCAGUAAAAUAGGUUACUCAUUAAAGUAUGCCUGAAGACAAAGGAAUACCUUGUAAAAAGUUUGUCACAAAAGACAUUUAUAAAUGAGCUAAAAUUGUAAAGCAACAUAUACUGAAGAGUUUAGUUAAAGACUAACAAGUGCCUGUUAGACACACAAUAUACCAAAUUUUGUGUGAAAAAAAAUUAUAUUAAUGGGUGGAAAUGUUUUUUAUCCAAUUCUGUGAAAUGUUAUAUAAUUGCAAAUAUCAUUUGAUAAAACUGUUUUCCCAUUAAUUAAUUUUCAAUCUGAAAAACAGUGACAGACUUAGAACAUAUUGGACCUAAAAUGUAUUCCAGGUCAUCAUCAAAUUUUCCACUAUAAAAAUGUCAGUCUUUUUAAUUAUUAAAUUAAAUGUAACCAAUUAAUACAGUCCAUUUAAGUUUAAAUUUACUACAUUAGAAUUUUGCAAACUAACCAUACAUGUAUUUAUACUUUUCUGUAUUGUUAUGAUAGAAAAUGGUUUGAUUUUGAUUCCAAGUAGCCCAGAAGAGACAGUACUGACCCUGUUAUUCAUAGUUCCUAGUUACAUUCAAAGGAGUCUUUUUCGUUUUUUUUAUAAUACAUAUACUUUAUAGAUAACCAUUAGCAAAAUAUAAAAUGCAAUUUGAUUAUCUUUUUUUUUUUGUAUUGUCUUAAUUUUGACUGUACUUAUCUUAAAUAAUUUAUGAUGGAACAUAAAGGUUGGUUUUAUUGUUAGCUCUUAAAGUUAUUGUUCUAUAGUAAUUCCUUAAAAAAAUGCUUUAAAUCAGCUGCUUUGGUGGGAUUUAUUAACAAAGACAUUUAAAUUUUCAAAAUUAUGUUUACAAAAUUUAAAUCAAGUUUAUGUUUUUUGUGAAUAGCUGGAGAGUAUAUUGCUACCAUUUCUACCAAGAUUUAACAAAGCGUCCACUGCACUGAACUGAUUAUCAGAGUGGACACACAUUAAAGACAUUUUACUUUCUUUGUACCUUACCAGUGCCAAAUCUUUCACUAAAAUGAGGUCUAACUUGGUGGUUUGCAGGGAAACCAUUGAAAGUGCUACAGUAGCUUACAGUCUUAAGACCUGAUUGGUGAAUGUGCUGUGCAUGUUUUUUGGACAUCUGUAAAAAGUUUAUUUUUAUUAAAAACAAUAAAAGCUAAGAGCAUUGAAA